rnacentral:lncRNA from 1 species
CCAAAGAUGUUCAAGAGUUGGACAUUAAAAUCAAAUUUGAUCUGAUUUAUCUUUUUUAGUCCAUGAGAUAGACAGUUCUCCUAUCUCUCUUCUCAUAUCUAGUCCAAGGAUUGGACAAUAAGAAAUAAAGAGAUUUGAUCUCUUAUCUUCUUCUGUAGAUCUUUAUUUUUCUUUUGAGAAGAAAAAAAUAUAAAAAAAAUCAGAUGUGAUCUGAUUUCAUCCUCCUUCUAUAAAUCUUUUUAAUUCUCUUGAGAAGAGAAUCAAAAGAUCAAAUCGAUUCGACAAUCCAGAGAGCUAUCUUUGUAAGGGAUCUAGCAUCCUAGUGAGAUCGAG